rnacentral:rRNA from 1 species
GACGAACGCUGGCGGCGUGCCUAAUACAUGCAAGUCGAACGCUGAAGGAGGAGCUUGCUUCUCUGGAUGAGUUGCGAACGGGUGAGUAACGCGUAGGUAACCUGCCUGGUAGCGGGGGAUAACUAUUGGAAACGAUAGCUAAUACCGCAUAAGAGUAGAUGUUGCAUGACAUUUACUUAAAAGGUGCAAUUGCAUCACUACCAGAUGGACCUGCGUUGUAUUAGCUAGUUGGUGAGGUAACGGCUCACCAAGGCAACGAUACAUAGCCGACCUGAGAGGGUGGUCGGCCACACUGGGACUGAGACACGGCCCAGACUCCUACGGGAGGCAGCAGUAGGGAAUCUUCGGCAAUGGACGGAAGUCUGACCGAGCAACGCCGCGGGAGUGAAGAAGGUUUUCGGAUCGUAAAGCUCUGUUGUAAGAGAAGAACGAGUGUGAGAGUGGAAAGUUCACACUGUGACGGUAUCUGACCAGAAAGGGACGGCUAACUACGUG